rnacentral:snRNA from 1 species
AUACUUACCUGGCAGGGGAGAUACCAUGAUCACGAAGGUGGUUCUCCCAGGGCGAGGCUCAUCCAUUGCACUCCGGCCGUGCUGACCCCU